AUUGAACGCUGGCGGAAUGCUUUACACAUGCAAGUCGAACGGCAGCACGGGGCAACCUGGUGGCGAGUGGCGAACGGGUGAGUAAUACAUCGGAACGUGCCCAAUCGUGGGGGAUAACGUAGCGAAAGUUACGCUAAUACCGCAUACGAUCUACGGAUGAAAGCGGGGGAUCGCAAGACCUCGCGCGAGUGGAGCGGCCGAUGUCAGAUUAGGUAGUUGGUGGGGUAAAGGCUCACCAAGCCAACGAUCUGUAGCUGGUCUGAGAGGACACCAGCCACACUGGAACUGAGACACGGUCCAGACUCCUACGGGAGGCAGCAGUGGGGAAUUUUGGACAAUGGGCGCAAGCCUGAUCCAGCCAUUCCGCGUGCAGGAUGAAGGCCUGUGUA
rnacentral:rRNA from 1 species